GAUGAACGCUGGCGGCGUGCCUAAUACAUGCAAGUCGAGCGAACAGACGAGGAGCUUGCUCCUUUGACGUUAGCGGCGGACGGGUGAGUAACACGUAGGUAACCUACCUAUAAGACUGGGAUAACUUCGGGAAACCGGAGCUAAUACCGGAUAAUAUUUCGAACCGCAUGGUUCGAUAGUGAAAGAUGGCUUUGCUAUCACUUAUAGAUGGACCUGCGCCGUAUUAGCUAGUUGGUAAGGUAACGGCUUACCAAGGCAACGAUACGUAGCCGACCUGAGAGGGUGAUCGGCCACACUGGCACUGAGACACGGUCCAGACUCCUACGGGAGGCAGCAGUCGGGAAUCUUCCGCAAUGGGCGAAAGCCUGACGGAGCAACGCCGCGUGAGUGAUGAAGGUCUUCGGAUCGUAAAACUCUGUUAUUAGGGAAGAACAAACGUGUAAGUAACUGUGCACGUCUUGACGGUACCUAAUCAGAAAGCCACGGCUAACUACGUG
rnacentral:rRNA from 1 species